rnacentral:rRNA from 1 species
GAAAGGCGCCGCAAUCCGAUCCGAUCAGAAAAGCUGGCGUCGGGCGGAAAGACGACGGCGAGCCCGUUUUCGCAACGCACACCGCGCAUACAUUACCCAGUUUUUUUAAAGCUCUCGAAACGAAAGGGGAACCUCGGCAGGCCCACCGCCGCUCGCCUCGCCUCGCCGCGGCGGCUGCCCCCUCUCCCCUCUCCACCGCCUACAAAUACCCCGCCCGCCGCUCCAGCCUCCCCUCCCAUUCCCCCGUUCGCCCACCUCGUCCGCGGCCGCUCCUCCCCCACGUGGCCAGCCUCGGCGCGCCGCUCCGAUCCGAUCUGCCCGCCCGCCGCCCACCUUCGCUCGGCACGGCAGAUUAACAUAUUCAAGUCAAGAUGGUUAGGUUUGGCAAAAAGUUGACGGCCGACCAAGUUCCAGAGUGGAGAGGUUACUAUAUAAACUACAAGCUGAUGAAGAAGAAAGUAAAACAAUAUGGGCAGCAGCUCCAACAGGGAGAGAAAGACCGUCGCCGUGUUCUCAAGGAUUUCUCGAAGAUGCUUGAUGAUCAGAUAGAGACGAUUGUCUUAUUUCUGUUGGAGCAACAAGGAAGGUUGGCGAGCAGGAUAGAAAAGCUAGGAAAGCAAAGAGCUAUACUAGCAGAACAGCCAGAUAUAUCUGCCAUUGCUGAGUUACGAGAAGCUUAUAGAGAAGUUGGUCUGGAUCUUAUCAAACUUCUCAAAUUCGUCGACCUGAAUGCAACUGGCAUUAGGAAAAUUUUGAAGAAGUUUGAUAAACGCUUCAGUUACAGAUUUACUGAUUACUACGUGUCAAGUAGAUCAAAUCACCCUUAUUCUCAGCUACAGCAGGUCUUCAAGCAUGUGGGUGUAGGAGCUGUUGUGGGAGCCUUGUCGCGUAACCUUGCUGACCUUCAGGAGCGUCAAGGAAGUUAUUUAUCAAUUUAUGACCAACCAGCUUCUGCUCUUAAGGACCCAAUCAUUGAUAUGAUAAAUUCAUCGGUGGAUAAACUGACACGAUCAACUAAUUUUCUACGGUUUUUGGGGCAACAUGCCCUAAUUGCGCAAGAGGAGUCUCCUAGUACUGCAGGAGAGGAAGAAAUAGAAGAUCAAAAAUACCAUUUCGUGUCCCUUAUGCUGAAUUUGGUGAACACAUUCCUUUACAUGGUCAACACAUACAUCAUUGUGCCAACUGCAGAUGACUACUCAGUGAGCCUUGGGGCUGCUUCUACUGUUUGUGGUGUUGUUAUUGGUUCAAUGGCCGUUGCACAAGUAUUUUCUUCAGUGUACUUCAGUGCAUGGUCCAACAAGUCAUAUUUUAAACCACUUGUUUUCAGCAGUAUUGUUCUUUUCUUGGGUAAUGUCUGCUAUGCAAUGGCUUACGAUACGAAGUCCCUGACAGUCCUUAUUGUUGGCCGCCUACUCUGUGGGUUGGGUUCUGCAAGAGCUGUCAACCGACGGUACAUUAGUGAUUGUGUCCCUGCAAGGAUACGCAUGCAAGCUUCAGCAGGAUUCGUAAGUGCAAGUGCACUUGGCAUGGCUUGUGGGCCAGCGCUGGCUGGUUUACUUCAGUGGAGAUUUAAAAUCUACAUGGUUACGUUCAGUCAGUCGACUCUACCUGGUUGGUUGAUGGCAGUUGCAUGGCUACUGUACUUAGUUUGGCUAUGCAUCUCAUUCAAGGAACCAAAUCGUGCCACUGAGGCAGAUGAUACCCCACAUAAUCGUGCUUCUGGACAAUGUGUGGAUAUUGGGCAAGUUGAAAAUGGACUUGCACAACCAUUGCUUGGAGAUUCUGAAAGCAAACUAAAUGACGACGACGAUGAUGAUGAAGAAGAUGAAAGUGAAGAAUCCGCACAAGAUUCUCGCAAGCCUGCAACUUCGAUUGGUUCAGCAUACAGAUUGCUCACUCCAUCAGUAAAGGUUCAAUUGUUGAUAUACUUCAUGCUCAAGUACGCGAUGGAGAUUUUACUUUCUGAGUCAAGUGUUAUUACCAGUCACUAUUUCAAUUGGAAUACAAGCUCAGUGGCAAUAUUUCUGGCAAUUCUUGGGUUGACAGUGCUUCCUAUUAAUGCUGUUGUUGGAACAUAUAUCAGCAACAUGUUUGAGGACAGGCAACUCUUGAUGGCUUCUCAAAUUACAUUGCUAGUAGGCAUUAUUUUCAGCUUCAAAGUCACGAGUACAUACUCCGUCAUCCAGUAUGUUGUCUCAGCACUCAUUACGUUUGUUUCUGCUGAAGUCCUUGAAGGCGUCAACCUUUCGCUCCUGUCGAGCGUGAUGUCGUCCCGCCUCUCCCGGGGCACAUACAACGGCGGGCUCCUCUCGACGGAGGCUGGCACCCUGGCGAGGGUGGUCGCCGACUGCACCAUCACCGCAGCGGGGUACCUGGGCAUCGGGAGCCUCCUCAACGUUACCCUGCUGCCCUCCCUGGUGAUCUGCGCCGCAUCAAUUGCAUGCACCUUCUUGACCUACAACUCCCUCUUCUAAAUGGCAACGGUCGAUCGCCACUGUACCUGUUGUCACCAUCCCUUCCAGGUUGGAAAAUUUGAUAGCUAGCUGCUGGCAGGCUUUGAUUCUGUGCUUGCCCGAAGGGACAAUCGUACAUGCCGGUCGGUUCAGUCAGUGUAGCAUAAUCAUGUACCCGAUGCAGUCUCCGCCCUGCGAAAUUUUGAUCGGUUUCGGUCUGUGAUCAUGAGCAAAUUGAUUUUUCGGCGCUGGUCAAUGUAAUCCGGUUUCCUCAACUUGAACUUGGCCUGAAAUGUGUUCCUUGGUGAGUGAUACCCGCCGUGUUGCAGUCACACUGCAUCUUCUGAACACAACAACACUUCUUCUGUAGUUAACUGAAGAAAUUGACACCACGCUGUUGGUGCCAAAUCAGGUUCUUCAUUGAUUGUGCGAUGUUCAUCAGACGGCAACUUACCACUUCGCCCGGAGUCAUAACACACAGCAAUCCUCCGUUGCGCAUCCAAUGGCUCGGAAGACUGCAUCGGUCUCUAUUAAUGUUUCUUUAUACACCUCUACUCUGCUUUUAAGUUGAAGUUACUUUUCACUGGUUGUAAUUGGUAAUAAACAAAGAUUUGGAAGCCCUAGAGCUCAUUAUCAUGUACUUGGGGGUAAGACUUAGCCGCCAUGUUCUGCCUGACGUAGUUGUGUAUCUUAUAUUCGAUAUAAUGCUCUCACAAUCAUGCUCUAAAAAUCAUCUUC